GCGAGAUAAAAAAAUAACCCACCCGCACAACCUCACGACCCCAAUCCUAUCUCCGCCUCCGCCACCUCGUGCAACGUGACGCCCCCGCCGCUGCGCGCCGCCGGCCCUCCCCUCUCCGCCCCCCACCCCCUUGCAUGGCUUCCAGGGUUGGAUCUGCCGGCUGCCCGAUCGAUUUUGCCUUGAACGCGAACAUGAGCUCGCGGGCGCCGCCGCAUCUGCUCUGACGGAAGGAGCGGGAGAUGCGCUGCUGGAGGCCGUGAUCGGGGGAAGACGGCGGGGAGUAUGAUGAGGUCGGGGAGGAGAGGUUGGAGGGGUGGACGCGGGAGUCAAGCCGCCACGAACGGCGAGUCAACUACACGUGCCUCAUAUCCCUCCGCUCCAUGGUGCUCCUCCUCGCUUUGCGGUCGCGGAAUCCAGACAAGAUCGGCAGGAUCCGCUCCCGGGCGAGGUUUUUCUCUCUAUAAGUCGCUGCCUCGACCCAUGGGAACUCCGACGGACGGUUCACAUGCCGGCAGCCGGCGGGACGGCGGAUCGGCUCCAACCGCCUCCACCCUCACCUCCUCCACGACCUACAAAGGCAGGACGCCCGAGAUCAGAGAAGAUGUUACUAUUUUUUUAGAAAGGAAAGUAGGAUUUGAACGCCAUCCGCGAGUCAUCCAUCUGAGAGGUACCCCAUCCUAUAAGAUGAGUACUAGAUUUUGUAUAAUCAGAUCAUGAACGAUGACCUUGCUGUUGUAAUUCUCAGUGUGUACUUUUGCUAUUGUACUAUUGCUUGAGAAUCUGGGCUGGAUUUAUGAUAGUUAGUAAUUAUGUGAUUUGUAUUUAUGUGUUGUUAGUUUGAUCCAAUUGGAACUUCUUACUGUUCAAGAAUGAUGCUUCAUGAUGUAAAGAUGUUCACUUUAAGUGGGAGCCGUGAAGGGCCUAAUCUGUGCACUCUUAAGUUUCAGAAAUAUUGUAGUGUCCAUAUAGAGUACAAGAUCUGACCAAUGUGGAGGCGUGGAGCAGACUGACAAAGGAAUUACACAGGCUCAUGCCUUUAUUCUCCAUGUUUGCUUCUUGUUCAUCUCCAUGAACAAAUAAGCUCAUCAACAAGUUCCCGUUUGUCCCUGUCUGAUUCAAGUCUGAAAGAUUCAUAUUUGGGUAGAUAGGUUUCAGUGAUUGAAAACAUUUUAGAUGAGGUUGUGCAUCUCUGGUGAAAUCAAGAAGCUCCUUGCUGUCAGGAAAGAAUUUUGUGCAAAGGCUGCUUCACUCAAGCAGGAGCUGAGUGGGGAGAGAUAAGAUAAACAACAUUUGAGAUUUAAGCAUGUUGAAAGCAGAGAUUGAUGACCUUCAACAGAAACUUACUCACUCAAGGUACAUACACUAUCUCUUUCAUUGGACCUGACCCUUGGGCGUCCCAUUAACACAUUUGUUUGUAAGAAUGCGUGGUAAUUAUAGCAAAAGGGGAAUUUUGAGUUGGUGGUACAAAGGAAAGUAAUGGAAAAGAGGGUGAUUUGGAUGGCCACGCAAGAAAUUCAGCAAACGCCGACCAAAUUAGCUAAUUUUGAUGGGAGACCAUUGGGAACAUAUGUCCACGCCACCCACAUCCACCCGGCAACUGCCUGUGUCGGCUGCCAUCGUCGGUCUACCACAAGCCCAUGACGUACCCAUCCGCAUCUGCAUCGCCUUGAGGCCACAGCAGCACCCCUGCCCUCCUGCCCCUGCUGGCAGCCGUGACCCUCGGCAUAUUGGUGCAGCAACAUCCCAUGUGUUGGCCUCGCUGUCUCAUCUCCUCUCUCUUAUGUUUGGGUCUGAUGUUAGUGUGAUGUGUGUGGGGAUGGAUAUGAGGCUAUCAUGGUGUGUAAAAAUUAUAUUUUUGGUGUAUUUGUCUUCAGAGUAUUGAAUCAAGGGUUGAACAAUGUAAUUAUCGAGCAUGACUAUGCGGAGGUAGUAAACAAUUAGUGUAAUGGGUUAAAUAGAUAUCAUGUUGGCCCUUCUGUUCAGGAAAUUAGGGAGAUGUGUACGAGUAAUAUUCAGGUGGAGUUGUUUGA